AGUUGGUACAUUUUAGCAAUGUGUACUGGAUUUUAGUAGACAAAAAUAUCCUUAUGUACCAUGAAUUAUAAGUUUUAAGGUUAAGGGUAUUUUAAUAAUUUUCAUCCUCAAAACUAAUAAAAAAAAACUAUCAAACCCUUACUCACCUCCCUCAUUUCUCUCAAUCAAUUCUCUUUCAUCUCUCUCACUCCAAAAUGUUCUCUGUCAUCCCUAGUAGUUCUAAUUGAAAAAAAUCAAAAACACUUGCCUAACUCUAAUCCACUUUCCUCACUUAUCC
rnacentral:lncRNA from 1 species